ACGCUCGACACCUACGGGAAGCAGCAGUAGGGAAUCUUCCACAAUGGGCGCAAGCCUGAUGGAGCAACACCGCGUGAGUGAAGAAGGGUUUCGGCUCGUAAAGCUCUGUUGUUGGAGAAGAACGUGCGUGAGAGUAACUGUUCACGCAGUGACGGUAUCCAACCAGAAAGUCACGGCUAACUACGUGCUAGCAGCCGCGGUAAUCUGAGGCGGGCUGGCAAGGC
rnacentral:rRNA from 1 species